rnacentral:snRNA from 1 species
UUGCUUUAGCAGCACAUAUACUAAUAUUGGACUGACACAGAGAAGAAUAACAUGGUCUCUAUGCAAGUAUGACACGGAAAUUUGUGAAGCAUUUCACAUUUUU